UACGUAGGGCGCAAGCGUUAUCCGGAAUUAUUGGGCGUAAAGAGCUCGUAGGCGGUUUGUCGCGUCUGCCGUGAAAGUCCGGGGCUCAACUCCGGAUCUGCGGUGGGUACAGGCAGACUAGAGUGAUGUAGGGGAGACUGGAAUUCCUGGUGUAGCGGUGAAAUGCGCAGAUAUCAGGAGGAACACCGAUGGCGAAGGCAGGUCUCUGGGCAUUAACUGACGCUGAGGAGCGAAAGCAUGGGGAGCGAACAGG
rnacentral:rRNA from 1 species